UCCAUCCAGCGAGCAAAGGCCAGCCGAGGGAGAUCGUGUGGCAGCCAUCUCGCGUCGCCACGAAAACACGACAGUCGUUCGUCAUGCCUUGGAUAUAACAACAAAUCCUCCACGGGGGAAUCUGCGACCACUGAAGUUACGUGCAGCACCAGUGCUAGUUAGAAACUUUGCCGCAGGCAUUCAGCUGCAUGAAGAGGUCAGUUGGGCGCGUUAUCUUGAACUUACUGAAAACGCAUGAGGAAUCCAUGUUUUAUGCUGAAAAAAGUAUAAACCCCAUAUAAGCGAUCUUGCGCGCGGCAGCUACAAGCGACGCGACGGAGAUGGCUGUCGCGUUCGCUCGUCGCCUACAAGUCGUACUCCGUGCGAGCGACGAUUUUGAGCGACGCCUCCCCGGUGUUGCCGGCAUGAGGGCUGCAGUCACGCGUGACGCGUUACGUUCAUGUAUUUUACUAUAAAAAGUAGCAUAAAAUAUUUCCGGAGGUCUUGCAGUACGUUCUUAUCCUUGCACGUAUAAAAAUUGAAUCAUUUGCUCGUUCCGCGCGACAAUCGGUAGUAUUUGAGCGAUGUAUGUACUGUACAUCCAGUUCCGGCUUCGCGCUAUUGGCUAGUCGCUCAUAGCACUUCUGGGCGACGAGCGACGAUUUCUAGAUUUCCAGAACCGAGCCAUCUGUUCAAGCGACGGCCCGUUUUGUCGCUCGUCGCCGUCGCGCACUAAAUCGCUCUCACAGUGUUUAUCCCUAAGACUGAACUGUUUUUGCUCAUGUUGAAAUGGUGUGAUUAUAGGUCUGGUUUUGUCUCCUGUUGCGGUUUUCGUGCACGGUGCGAAAUUGUCGAGCAGCUAGUUACGCAUCGGCAUCGAAUAUAACGGCUGCUGUGUGGAAUUACAAUUGAAGGGGCGCUUUGCAUACGCUUAUUGUUUUGGACAUGCCUGUGCAUUUGCUAAUAUGAGUUGGCGUGUCAGAGUUAUGUCAUAUGAACAGCUAAAUCAGCCUUCCUCUGGGGGUUACAAGCGUAAUGUGUGCAUUUUGCUAUAGCAUGGCAGAUUAUGAUGUGUUUAUCGCUUGGAUAUUUUUAGUAGAGAAAUAAAAUAUCAAAAUAAAAUGUUGCUUUAAUUCCGUGUUACCAUUCUGUCGUACACAGAACAAUAGGUUGGUGUAAUAAACUAAUAACUGCGGUUUAACUGCAACUUUUACAUGCCUACAAGAAUCUAAAAUGCUAGAUUUCAAACUGCAGCAGUAGUCGGGUCUGUCAAAAAUGAACUCCACUGCGCACCUCAUGCAUGAAAAUAAGUUCAUGCCUUUUAGUAAGCUUAGAUGCAGGCCGCAGUGAACUUGUUAGUAUUGAAAUGUGGGUAAGCUUGCCAUAACAAGCCUUGUUGCCCUUUUUUAUAGGCACAUCCAUAUAUCCAUUGAGCUGAAGGACAAUAUUUUCAUCCCUACUGAGCAUCAUGUUUGCAGCUAUAAUCCUCAAGUUAUGGCUUCAGCAGUGGCACAACCAGGCAUGGUGCGGGGGGGUGGGGGGGCACACUGGGCACGUGCUUAGGAUGUGUCACAAGUGGUGUUUGCGAUACACCAGACUCAUGACAGACCUAUGACGUCUGAAAAUGACCAAUAUUCUAUUCAUUAGCAGGAGUAUUCUAACAUUCAUGAAAAACAAGGAUGAACUGUGGUUUGUUUUUUUGCUUAAAUCUAAAAAUUGAAGUUAGUUUAGCAGUUGACUGUUGCAGUCAUUUGGAUGUUUUGCAUGCAUUUCACUAGGAAGACUAAGAGCUAAGACUUUUUAUUGCCAUUGCCUUGACUGUCUUGAUGUUGUUUUGCACCAUGUCCUUGUGUUGACUUUUGCAUACGAUAUUUUUCAGGCACCCGCUUUAUAUAACGCAAGAAGGCAGCUGCAAGGACACGAGGAUGUGAAAGAGCCAGUGCAGCGCGACUUCACGUAGUGUAGAGGAGCCAAUGCCAAAAAAUCAAAAUACAUUGGCAUGUUAUUUGGACAAGAAAACUAGGACAACCCAGGACGUGCAUUUCUCAGCACCCAGUCAACUGCCAAAAGUGACUCAAACACAGGCCACCAGUGGAACUCGGCUGUACCACUGCAGUGCUGCGGAAAUUGCCUUCACCAGCGGCUUUGCAACAGCUGUUUCGCAGCAUGUCGGAGACAAUGCCUACGAAAUUAUUGGCCCUGAUCAUGAGAGCCCUCAAGGGGCAAACAACAUCUCUGUUGCAGAAGUGAGCCCGGUACCACUUGGAAGUUACCAUGACAGAUGACACGGCAGCAAUAGAUACAGAGACUGCCACGUCUACUGCAGCUGCAACAGUGUACGAGGCAAGCAGCAGCGCGUCAGCAGCAGUGUCAGAAGGAACCACACCAGGCCUGGUAGAGCAACAUGUGUGCUAUCACUGACUUUUUUUGUAGUGGAUACAACUCAUUUGCUCAACAUACAAAAGCUUUUCACCACGACUGUGAGCCAGUGUUAUUGUGCAGCAAGUGCAAGACUAAGUUAACUGUUAUAACACAGUACAAGCAUCACUUUAACAUAUGAAAACAUAUUACAGUUGUUGCCUCCCCAGCCAGCCCACAUAGCCACAACAAUGUUGAACACAUGGUGGGACACACAUCUUCUCCAUUAGAAGAUAGUAGAGACUGUCAGUGUUGUUGUUAGAUUAACUGGUCUUUGUAGGCAACUAGGACAACACAGGUGUCAUAAGAUUGUUGAUGUUGUUGUUGAAGAGGUAAAAAAGAAGUUUGAUGCAGCUGAAGUGCCAACUGAUAUUGAGCAAAUCAAAAGCAACCACCUGAGAAAGCAACACUAUCGAAAUUUGGGUAUCUAUGUGCCGCCAACUCUGGUAAGAAUGGCAUAGGACAGAAGUGUGAUGAAAAUCACACAGACACUGCUGUUGCAUCACUGGCCACAGUGAGCAGCGACUUGUAGGGCAAGAGAGUCAACUGAAACUAACAUUAUGAUAUAGUGUCAUGCUCCCAUGUGACCACUUUUCAAGUUAUUUUGCAAGAUACAGCUCAACCUCCAGAAACGAGACUGCAAGUUGUCUGUAAAAAAGCUUUCACAAAAAAUUAUUCAUAACACUAUUAACAUAGUAUCUUUUUUUUGUGUCGGUUCGAGUUCCCGGCUGUCCAUUAAUGCAAAAAUUGAGGAAAAAAAGAACAUGUGUCGUACUUACACCUUUUUAACAAGUACGAGGGGGACAGAACUUUUCUAGUCAUGCAUCAUCAUACUAUCAAGUUUUUAAAUGCCUUUUAUAAUUAUUAUUACCAGUUAUAUCUGAGUGCAUUGUAUGCAUGUAGCAGGUGUAAAAUCAGGUCAGUUGGAUCAGAUGCCUUAUCUGCAAGCGAGCCCUAAAUUCAAGAAAUUUGAAAUAAAAUAGUUACGUUAGAGACGCAGUCUUUCAGCACUUUAUUGCCUGUGGUUUAAGCAUUGCUCAAUACUUUUGUGGGUGGCAACUUCAACCGGCACAGCACUGCGCUUUGCCACAGUCACAUUUGUCUUCAAAGCGGUGUUUACCAUUUGUGUUGAUCUGUUUGUGUAUGCAUAGAGCAAGUUUUUAAUUUAUAUUUUUCUGCAUUCUUGUGCUUGCACUAAGCUUGUAUAAGGCAGUUACAAAAUGUGCGGCACUAUAACGAACUGUUCUGUUGAGCUUACACUUGCAAAUAAUCGUGUUCAGAUGGCCGCACUUCUAUGCGGGUGCACCGCUAGCUUUGUGUAUGUUCUCAUGUUUGUAUAAAGCUUAUAUAAGCUAGUUAGAAAAUGUAUGUCACUAAGCAUUGUGAUAUUCUUUAAAGAACUGCUUGGUUGGUUUUACACUUGUGAAUUAGUAUUGAGGCGGUGGUAUUCCCAUGUAUGCCCACUGCUAGCUUUCUGUGUCCUCACGUGUUUGUAUUAAGUUUCUACAAGGGAGUUACAGCAUGUACGUCACUAAGCGCUGUGAUAUUUUUUAAAGAACUGCUUUGUUGGUUUUACACCUGUGAGUAAUAGUACUCGUGUGGCACUAGUCAUGUGUAGGUACACAGGGACCAUUUGUAUACAUUAUGCUCAUGUAAAGCAGUUACAAAGUGUAUGUCACUAAUUACUGUGAUAUUUGUUGAAUUGCUGUGAUGGUUUUACACAUGUGAAUAAUAGUGGUCAGGACACAGUACUUGCGGUGUAUAGUUGAAUUUAUACACUGCCAAGACAUGGGCUGUAUACGUACCAAAAGAAAUGUAUGUCAUUAUAUUGUUGUGAUUAUUACUGUUUGGAUUUUAUUAAACUGUAAUAAAAUUGUUUCUUGUAUCUA